UACGUAGGGACCGAGCGUUGUCCGGAUUCAUUGGGCGUAAAGAGCUCGUAGGCGGCUGUUCAAGUCGAACGCGAAAACUCGGAGCUCAACUCCGAGCCUGCGUUCGAUACUGGAUGGCUAGAGUCUGGUAGGGGGAUCUAGAAUUCCUGGUGUAGCGGUGGAAUGCGCAGAUAUCAGGAGGAACACCGGUGGCGAAGGCGGGAUCCUGGGCCAGUACUGACGCUGAUGCACGAAGGCCAGGGGAGCAAACGGG
rnacentral:rRNA from 1 species